rnacentral:rRNA from 1 species
GGUUCAUUCAAAUUUCUGCCCUAUCAACUUUCGAUGGUAGGAUAGUGGCCUACCAUGGUUUCAACGGGUAACGGGGAAUUAGGGUUCUAUUCCGGAGAGGGAGCCUGAGAAACGGCUACCACAUCCAGGGAAGGCAGCAGGCGCGCAAAUUACCCAAUCCCGACCGGGGAGGUAGUGACAAUAAAUACUGAUACAGGGUUCUUUUGGAUCUUGUAAUUGGAAUGAGUACAAUUUAAAUCCCUUAACGAGGAACAAUUGGAGGGCAAGUCUGGUGCCAGCAGCCGCGGUAAUUCCAGCUCCAAUAGCGUAUAUUAAAGUUGUUGCAGUUAAAAAGCUCGUAGUUG